rnacentral:rRNA from 1 species
UGCAGUCGAGCGGUAACAUUUCUAGCUUGCUAGAAGAUGACGAGCGGCGGACGGGUGAGUAAUGCUUGGGAACAUGCCUUGAGGUGGGGGACAACCAUUGGAAACGAUGGCUAAUACCGCAUAAUGUCUACGGACCAAAGGGGGCUUCGGCUCUCGCCUUUAGAUUGGCCCAAGUGGGAUUAGCUAGUUGGUGAGGUAAAGGCUCACCAAGGCGACGAUCCCUAGCUGGUUUGAGAGGAUGAUCAGCCACACUGGAACUGAGACACGGUCCAGACUCCUACGGGAGGCAGCAGUGGGGAAUAUUGCACAAUGGGCGCAAGCCUGAUGCAGCCAUGCCGCGUGUGUGAAGAAGGCCUUCGGGUUGUAAAGCACUUUCAGUCAGGAGGAAAGGUUAGUAGUUAAUACCUGCUAGCUGUGACGUUACUGACAGAAGAAGCACCGGCUAACUCCGUGCCAGCAGCCGCGGUAAUACGGAGGGUGCGAGCGUUAAUCGGAAUUACUGGGCGUAAAGCGUACGCAGGCGGUUUGUUAAGCGAGAUGUGAAAGCCCCGGGCUUAACCCUGGGAACUGCAUUUCGAACUGGCAAACUA